rnacentral:lncRNA from 1 species
AUUCUAGGAAAGUGAAAAGAACUUAUGGAAUACAAAAAAAUCAAAUGCUUCACAAAAAAGGGUAAUGAAGAAGGAAGAGUUAUUAUUGCAAAGAAGAUAAACAAACAACACUGGAAAAAACCUUUCUUCAGGGGAAGAACUUCUGAACUGAUUUGUUGUUUGUGCACUUGUUUGUUUCACACAACAUCGCAUGAAUAAAAUUAGCAGUGGAAAAGCAGCUUGUAAUAUGUCCUG